rnacentral:piRNA from 1 species
GGAGAGCAAGACUAUUUCACGGUGG